rfam:Helianthus annuus linkage group 11, whole genome shotgun sequence.
AGACCGUGAUGUGGGCAUUUCCUUAAUAUAUUCGUGAACCUUUCCCAUUUCUCAUACAAUGAUUCCCCGUCUUCUUGAGAGUAUGAGUUAAUCUCGGUCAUGAGUUU